CCUGGACGAAGACUGACGCUCAGGUGCGAAAGCGUGGGGAGCAAACAGGAUUAGAUACCCUGGUAGUCCACGCUGUAAACGAUGUCGAUUUGGAGGUUGUGGCCUUGAGCUGUGGCUUCCGAAGCUAACGCGUUAAAUCGACCGCCUGGGGAGUACGGCCGCAAGGUUAAAACUCAAAUGAAUUGACGGGGGCCCGCACAAGCGGUGGAGCAUGUGGUUUA
rnacentral:rRNA from 1 species